AGUGAACGCUGGCGGUAGGCCUAACACAUGCAAGUCGAACGGCAGCACAGGAGAGCUUGCUCUCUGGGUGGCGAGUGGCGGACGGGUGAGGAAUACAUCGGAAUCUACCUUUUCGUGGGGGAUAACGUAGGGAAACUUACGCUAAUACCGCAUACGAUCUACGGGUGAAAGUGGGGGACCGCAAGGCCUCACGCGAUUAGAUGAGCCGAUGCCCGAUUAGCUAGUUGGCGGGGUAAUGGCCCACCAAGGCGACGAUCGGUAGCUGGUCUGAGAGGAUGAUCAGCCACACUGGAACUGAGACACGGUCCAGACUCAUACGGGAGGCAGCAGUGGGGAAUAUUGGACAAUGGGCGCAAGCCUGAUCCAGCCAUACCGCGUGGGUGAAGAAGGCCUUCGGGUUGUAAAGCCCUUUUGUUGGGAAAGAAAUCCUGUCGAUUUAUACUCGGUGGGAUGACGGUACCCAAAGAAUAAGCACCGGCUAACUUCGUGCCAGCAGCCGCAGUAACAC
rnacentral:rRNA from 1 species